rnacentral:lncRNA from 1 species
UGCAGUGUUUGGAACUCGCUGAGAGCCAAGAAGUCUGGCAGGACUCCAUUGCAGUCAGUGCCUCAGCUCUUAACAGAUGGGUGUUACACAACCUGCCUCUCUGCACAGCACAGCUCAGCCGAGCGCUUCCGAGAGGCUUUUCCCAACCCCAAUGCCCCAGCCUGUACACGGAUGAGUGCAUGAGAUGGGAUGCUGUGAAGGGAAAGUCAUUAAUCCCCAAAUGCAGUGAACUGCUAAUGAGUAUUUUAAGGGCAAAUAGCCUCACUCUAGGCAAAUUCUCACUUGGUGGAGGCACAGUGGAGAGAAUGUCGCUCUGUUGCGUACAUACAGACUUCAGUGCCUCUGUGUAUGGCUGGAUUCUGCUCAGGUUCUCUGCUCUGUCUGCACUUGCUCAGGGACAAAGAAAUUUACAGAGAGUAUGAAGUCUGCCAUACCACCGAGCUUUUCUGGGUCAGGAGACAGCAGCACCCAGGCUGUAAGAAGGACACCUGUGGUGAUCCUUUAUUGGGUGCUAGAGGACUGGAAACGGACAGAGCCAUCACAGAAGCAUCGCACAUGAACAGACCAUGGAGCAGGGUUGCAGCUCAGCGCUGGCGGAGCCCAGCACGCAGGAGGAAGCCGGCAGGAGGCAGAGAGCAGCUCCCGCUGUCUCGGUCCGCAGAGGACGAGCUGCGAGGCGGCUCGGCAGCCGGCUGGCGCUGGCAGGCGGGCGGCUCUGCCGCUCCCUCAGCCGCGC